UCUGGUAGCGAUAGCGGAGAGGUCACACCUGUUCCCAUGCCGAACACAGUAGUUAAGCUCUCCAGCGCCGAUGGUAGUUGGGGUCUGACCCCUGCAAGAGUAGGACGCCGCCAGGC
rnacentral:rRNA from 1 species